AUUGAACGCUGGCGGCAGGCCUAACACAUGCAAGUAGAGCGGAGCGGCGGACGGGUGAGUAAUGCCAAGGAAACGGCCUGGUAGUGGGGGAAAAAGUCAGGAACCGGGCGAUAAUACCGCAUACUAUCAGAAGAGCCUAGGUCGGAUUAGCUAGUUGGUGGGGUAAAGGCCUACCAAGGCGACGAUCCGUAACUGGUCUGAGAGGAUGUUCAGUCACACUGGAACUGAGACACGGUCCAGACUCCUACGGGAGGCAGCAGUGGGGAAUAUUGGACAAUGGGCGAAAGCCUGAUCCAGCCAUGCCGCGUGUGUGAAGAAGGUCUUCGGAUUGUAAAGCACUUUAAGUUGGGAGGCGUUACCAACAGAAUAAGCACCGGCUAACUGCGUGCCAGCAGCCGCGGUAAUAC
rnacentral:rRNA from 1 species